AGGACGAACGCUGGCGGCGCGCUUAACGCAUGCAAGUCGAACGAGAUCCAUCCAGUAGCAAUACUGGUGAAGAUCGAGUGGCGAACGGGUGAGUAUCACGUGAGGAACCCACCCCGGGAGACCGGGAUAACCCUCCGAAAGGAGAGCUAAUACCGGAUGUCCUCAUCGGAUCGCAUGUUCUGAUGAGGAAAUGGAUUCCGCUCCGGGACGCUUCGCGGCCUAUCAGCUAGUUGGUGAGGUAACGGCCCACAAGGCGACGACGGGUAGCUGGUCUGAGAGGACGAUCAGCCACACUGGGACUGAGACACGGCCCAGACUCCUACGGGAGGCAGCAGGCGGGGAAUAGUUGCACAAUGGGACGAAAGCCUGAUGCAGCGACGCCGGCGGUGGGGAUGGAAGGCUCGUCGGUUACGUAACCCCCUUGACGCGAGGACGAAAUCGAAGACGGUACC
rnacentral:rRNA from 1 species